UGGGGAAUAUUGCACAAUGGAGGGAACUCUGAUGCAGCGACGCCGCGUGAACGAAGAAGGCUUUCGAGUCGUAAAGUUCUUUUAUAUGGGAAGAUAAUGACGGUACCAUAAGAAAAAGCCCCGGCUAACUACGUGCCAGCAGCCGCGGUAAUACGUAGGGGGCUAGCGUUGUCCGGAAUCACUGGGCGUAAGGGUUCGCAGGCGGAAAUGCAAGUCAGGUGUAAAAGGCAGUAGCUUAACUACUGUAAGCAUUUGAAACUGCAUAUCUUGAGAAGAGUAGAGGUAAGUGGAAUUUUUAGUGUAGCGGUGAAAUGCGUAGAUAUUAAAAAGAAUACCGGUGGCGAAGGCGACUUACUGGGCUCAUUCUGACGCUGAGGAACGAAAGCGUGGGUAGCAAACAGG
rnacentral:rRNA from 1 species